rnacentral:rRNA from 1 species
UGCCAGACUCCUACGGGAGGCAGCAGUGGGGAAUUUUGCGCAAUGGGGGAAACCCUGACGCAGCAACGCCGCGUGCGGGACGAAGGCCCUCGGGCUGUAAACCGCUUUCAGCAGGGAGGACAUCGACGGUACCUGCAGAAGAAGCUCCGGCUAACUACGUGCCAGCAGCCGCGGUAAUACGUAGGGAGCAAGCGUUAUCCGGAUUUAUUGGGUGUAAAGGGUGCGUAGACGGGAAUUUAAGUUAGUUGUGAAAUCCCUCGGCUUAACUGAGGAACUGCAACUAAAACUGAAUUUCUUGAGUGCGGGAGAGGAAAGUGGAAUUCCUAGUGUAGCGGUGAAAUGCGUAGAUAUUAGGAGGAACACCAGUGGCGAAGGCGACUUUCUGGACCGUAACUGACGUUGAGGCACGAAAGUGUGGGGAGCAAACAGGAUUAGAUACCCCGGUAAC